AGAGUUUGAUCCUGGCUCAGAACGAACGCUGGCGGCGUGCCUCAUACAUGCAAGUCGAACGAGAAACCCCUGAGCAAUCGGGGGGAGUAAAGUGGCGAACGGGUGAGUAACACGUGGGCAACCUGCCUCGAAGUUUUGGAUAAGCCCUCGAAAGGGGGUCUAAUACGGAAUAACCUCCUCAGUUGGCAUCAUCUGGGGAGCAAAGGUAGCUCAUUUUAUGGGCUAUUGCUUUGAGAUGGGCCCGCGCUCCAUUAGCUUGUUGGUGAGAUAAAAGCCCACCAAGGCUACGAUGGAUAGCCGACCUGAGAGGGUGUACGGCCACACUGGGACUGAGAUACGGCCCAGACUCCUACGGGAGGCAGCAGUAGGGAAUAUUGCGCAAUGCCCGAAUGGGUGACGCAGCAACGCCGCGUGGGUGAUGAAGUUCUUCGGAAUGUAAAACCCUGUCAGAGGGGAAGAAAAUCCUACCUUAGGUGGGAUCUGACGGUACCCUCAGAGGAAGCUCCGGCUAACUCCGUGCCAGCAGCCGCGGUAAUACGGGGGGAGCAAGCGUUGUUCGGAAUCACUGGGCGUAAAGGGUGUGUAGGUGGGCAGGCAAGUCAGACGUGAAAAUCCAAGGCUUAACCUUGGACCGGCGUUUGAAACUACCUGUCUUGAGUACGGGAGAGGAAAGUGGAAUUUCAGGUGUAGCGGUGAAAUGCGUAGAUAUCUGAAAGAACACCGGUGGCGAAGGCGGCUUUCUGGCCCGAUACUGACACUGAGACACGAAGGCUAGGGGAGCAAACAGGAUUAGAUACCCU
rnacentral:rRNA from 1 species